ACCCCUGCGGGAUCCCACUAGAUACAUCCUCCCAGUUUGACAGUGAGCCAUUGAUAACUACUCUUUGAGUAUGGGCUUUCAAUCAGUUUUGCACCUAUUUUUUCUAGACCACAUUUCCCUAGUUUGCUUAUGAGAACAGCAUGAGGGGCUGUGCAGAAGCCUUACUAAAAUCAAGACAGAUCACAUCUACGGCUUCCCCACCAUCCACUAGGCCAGUAACCCUGUCAAAGAAAAAAAUUAGGUUGGUUCGGCAUGAUUUGUUCUUGACAAAUCCAUGUUGGAUAUUCCGUAUAACUCUAUUAUCCUCUAGGUGCUUACAGAUGGAUUGUUAAAUAAUUUGUUCCAGUAUCAUUCCAGGAACUGAAGUUAGGCUGACUGGCCUGUAAUUUCCCAGGUCCUCUUUUGUUCCCCUUCAUAAAGAUAGAUAUUAUGUUUGACCUUCAUCAGUCCUCUGGGAUCCCACCAGUCCUCCAUGAGUUCGCCAAGAUAAUCACCAUCAGUUCUGAGAUUGCUUCAUCUAGGUCCUUCAUCAGGCCCUGCUAACUUAAAUAUUUAUACCAAGAGUCUUUAACCUGUUCUUUUCCUAUUGUGGAUUGUGUUCUAUUUCAUGCAAAUGCUAUGAAAUGUCAAGGCACGUGACAGAAAACAUUUCUAUGGAGACAUUAACAUUUCAGCGUUGGAUGCCUACAUCAGAAAUGACAACAUUUUAAACAAAAAUCUGAUUUCUAUCAAGUGAAGAAAGAGUUGGGUGCAUUUGUGACCUCCGCCUUGUCCAAUUAUCCACCAUGCCUGGCUUUGCAAGAUACCUAACAAUAUGCACUUUGUAUCCAUGAUAAGAAUUGGUAACUACCUUUGUUGGUGCAGAAGAUUUAAUCUAGAUUAAAUUAAGGUAAAAUACAACUUUGGAGAUUCUGGACCCUGUGUUUAAUAAAUUCAGAUUCUGCUAAUAUAAUCUCUCAGCUCUAUAGUAAACUUCUAUAUUGUUUAAAUAAAAAGUCUCUCUCUUUAUUGGGCUGAGUUUGCUCUAGAAACUCCCCUUACCCUUCACCCUUUAAAAGUUUCUGCUUCUGAUUUACUCAUCCUUGUGGCGUGUGUGUAUACACGUGUACAUACCUAAUUCCUGAACUCAUCAAUCCCACUGUUGGGCCAGCAGGGGAAAAGAGGAAAGACCAAAAAAAAAAAAAAAAAAUCUCUAUU